rnacentral:sRNA from 1 species
GUGUGAGCCGACCGCGGGCGCUGGGCGGGUCCGCGGCGCGGUCGGUCGGCGCCUAUUCUCGGGCUGUUUGGCGGGACUGGCCAGCCCCCAAACCUCCAAGCCCAUCGGCUGGAUGCCGCGGAUAAGCGAGGGGAGAGCGACUAGGCCCUGUCUGCGGGUACCUUCGGCGAGGAGAGGCGACGAAGCGUACAGAAACUGCUGUAAAAUAAGAAGUUGUGGGUUUUUUUUUUUUUUUUUUUUUUUGUCUGGAGGAAAGGGGACACCAAAACUCAUUUGGCAGCAGAGGUGAGACGAAGCUUCACAAAAGAUGUCUAAGAUGGGAGUCUUGCUCUGUCACCAGGCUGGAGUGCAGUGGCAUGAUCUCAGCUCACUGCAACUUCUGCCUCCCACGUUCAAGCGAUUCCCCUGGCUCAGCCUCCGGAGUAGCUGGGACUGCAGACGUGUGCCACCACGCUGGCUAAUUUUUUGUAUUUUAGUAAAUUCGGGGUUUCACCGUGUUGGCCAGGAUGGCCUUGAUCUGUUGACCUCGUGAUCCACCCGCUUUGGCCCCCCGAAGUGUUGGGAUUACAGGUGUGAGCCACCGUGCCUGGCCUAAUUGUCAUCUUAAAAGCUUGGAGCUUUCUCUUUUUUCAGGCUUCUACUUUCUUUUCUCUACACACAUCAGUAACAGUCCUUUUAGCCCCCUUAGUUCAUUCCCAGCAGACCAGAUAAUUUAGAAUUCUAAUAAUUUAUUAUGAUGAAAUUGAUGGGGCUCUUAGACUUGAUAAAUUGGUUUAAAUCAGCCUUUGCAAGUUAGUUCAGAGAUAAAUUAGUUCUAAAGAACAUAUUCUGAGAAAAGCAGAACUUGUGGUUAACAUUGCAAGAUUAUUAUUUCUGUUUUUUUUUUAUCUUUGAAUCCUGUGGGUGUUCAUUACUGUCCAUUGCAAAAUCAUCAUACCAGUGUUUGCAUUUUAUACCAGUGUUAGCGUGGAACACAGAUAAGCAAAAAAAAAAAGUCAUUAUUUCACCACUCAGGAAUAACCACUGUUAAUAUGUUACAUAUAUUCUUUUUCACCUGUGUGUGCAUUUGACUAUACAUUUACAAAAUGUAAUCCUAAAGGAAAUACUAUUUUGUAUCUUGCCUUUUUCAAUUAAUAAAUUGAUUUUUUAAAUU